CAGGGUACCCUGGUGAUAACCUGGAUAAUACAAUCUGAUUUUGGCCUUGAGUCUGUUCCCUUGGAUUAUCGCAUUUCUUCAAGGACCAAAAGCUGUGCUGGUGAUUCAGACCUGGAGGAGAAUGUCUUUUUUAGUGGUGGUCACAAGGACAAUGUUCUAGUUUUAUCUAGUUUUAGACUACCACAGCUCCCCUGGCUGGCCCAGUGUGAGGUGGCCACGGGCCUCCCACAGGCACGCAGGCAAGAGGAGCUGCUCGGUGUGCUGCUUGCAUUUGAUACAUGGUAGACUCAGCACUAGGGAAGGCUGAUGCCCUCCAUCCAGCCUGGAUCAACCUCUGGGUGUGCUGCAGGGACUGAUGGUGCUCCUCAGCUUGCCAGGGGAUGGAGAAACCUAAGGAAAAUGGAGGGGGGAAAAAAAAGCUGGACAGAAAAGGC